rnacentral:rRNA from 1 species
AGUGAACGCUGGCGGUAGGCCUAACACAUGCAAGUCGAACGGCAGCACAGUAAGAGCUUGCUCUUACGGGUGGCGAGUGGCGGACGGGUGAGGAAUACAUCGGAAUCUACUUUUUCGUGGGGGAUAACGUAGGGAAACUUACGCUAAUACCGCAUACGACCUACGGGUGAAAGCAGGGGAUCUUCGGACCUUGUGCGAUUGAAUGAGCCGAUGUCGGAUUAGCUAGUUGGCGGGGUAAAGGCCCACCAAGGCGACGAUCCGUAGCUGGUCUGAGAGGAUGAUCGGCCACACUGGAACUGAGACACGGUCCAGACUCCUACGGGAGGCAGCAGUGGGGAAUAUUGGACAAUGGGCGCAAGCCUGACCCAGCCAUACCGCGUGGGUGAAGAAGGCCUUCGGGUUGUAAAGCCCUUUUGUUGGGAAAGAAAAGCAGCAGGUUAAUACCCCGCUGUUCUGACGGUACCCAAAGAAUAAGCACCGGCUAACUUCGU